UUUAAUAAACAUAAUCAUCAUGACAUAGACUGGAAAUUAUAAAAAAAUGUUUUGCUUUGUAUAGUGAUCGUUUUUAUCUUUGCAGCCGUUAUACUGGACACUAACGUGCAUAAUUUUGUAAUUUUUUUGUUAUAUAGCAACUCAUCAACAGUUUCUGUAAUAUUUGUCCAUAUAGCGACUAUAGUCUAUAGUUACUUUUCUCCCUCGGUCGAUGUGAAAAGUACAACAUGUUUGUGUUGGACAAAUUUUUGUAAAUAUUUAAAGUCAUGUGUAAUUCUUAUCAUUUUUUGACAAAUUUUUAGAUGCCCUCACUUUUCAUAGCAUUUUGGAAUACCAUCAAUACCAACAAUCCUGAUCGGAGAAGACUGAAACAGCACAUCAACAGUUGUUACAGUCACGUAGCUUGUUUCUUUGGUCACGUAUAGCCACCGGCCCACCAUGCAGUUCAGCCACGAGACUGAGCAUCCCAUCAAAAGUAAAAUAGAAGAAAGGACAUUGAGCUGGCCACCUAAGACAUGCAACUUUGUACAUCAACGAGACACAUUCAACGGAACACACCGACGUCAACGCAGAUCUUUAAAUAAUCGCUUAAUGGCCAAGCUCCAUGCUGUUUAGCAGGCAAAUAAAACCAUAGUCAUCUACAAGUAACCAUAACCAUCUAAUUGUCUAUUACGCAAUAAAUCCGUACAAUCUUCUUUGUCUUCUGUU